GACGAACGCUGGCGGCGUGCUUAACACAUGCAAGUCGAACGGUAAGGCCCUUCGGGGUACACGAGUGGUGAACGGGUGAGUAACACGUGGGUGAUCUGCCCUGCACUUCGGGAUAAGCCUGGGAAACUGGGUCUAAUACCGGAUAGGACCACUGCCUGCAUGGGUGGUGGUGGAAAGCUUUUGCGGUGUGGGAUGGGCCCGCGGCCUAUCAGCUUGUUGGUGGGGUGAUGGCCUACCAAGGCGACGACGGGUAGCCGGCCUGAGAGGGUGACCGGCCACACUGGGACUGAGAUACGGCCCAGACUCCUACGGGAGGCAGCAGUGGGGAAUAUUGCACAAUGGGCGCAAGCCUGAUGCAGCGACGCCGCGUGGGGGAUGACGGCCUUCGGGUUGUAAACCUCUUUCAGCACCGACGAGGCGCAAGUGACGGUAGGUGCAGAAGAAGGACCGGCCAACUACGUGCCAGCCGCCGCGGUAA
rnacentral:rRNA from 1 species